rnacentral:tRNA from 1 species
UAGCUCAGUUGGUAGAGCAAAGGACUGAAAAUCCUUGUGUCCCCGGUUCGAUUCCUGGU